AUUCUUUCACUUCUACUUGGCCAGUCAAAAUAGUAUUAUACUGUCCAAGCCUCUGUGGUCUAGUGGCGCAAGCUUUGAUGAAGGGUGAAACCUUCGUACCUAAGUUCCAUUUUCUUUUGAAACAAAAUUACAUUUGUUUGGAAAGUUUGACAAUUGGGUCUUAACCUAAUUAAUUUAUCUAGUAUUUAGAAAUACAGGCGGCUUGACUAACCCCUUGUUUACCAGAUCAGCCGAUAGAGUAUAUAAAAAAAA
rnacentral:sRNA from 1 species